AGUGAACGCUGGCGGUAGGCCUAACACAUGCAAGUCGAACGGCAGCACAGUAAGAGCUUGCUCUUACGGGUGGCGAGUGGCGGACGGGUGAUGAAUACAUCGGAAUCUACUUUUUCGUGGGGGAUAACGUAGGGAAACUUACGCUAAUACCGCAUACGACCUACGGGUGAAAGCAGGGGAUCUUCGGACCUUGCGCGAUUGAAUGAGCCGAUGUCGGAUUAGCUAGUUGGCGGGGUAAAGGCCCACCAAGGCGACGAUCCGUAGCUGGUCUGAGAGGAUGAUCAGCCACACUGGAACUGAGACACGGUCCAGACUCCUACGGGAGGCAGCAGUGGGGAAUAUUGGACAAUGGGCGCAAGCCUGAUCCAGCCAUACCGCGUGGGUGAAGAAGGCCUUCGGGUUGUAAAGCACUUUUGUUGGGAAAGAAAAGCAGCAGGUUAAUACCCCGCUGUUCUGACGGUACCCAAAGAAUAAGCACCGGCUAACUUCGUG
rnacentral:rRNA from 1 species